AUACGAAGGGAGCUAGCGUUGUUCGGAAUUACUGGGCGUAAAGCGCACGUAGGCGGACUUGUUAGUCAGGGGUGAAAUCCCGGGGCCCAACCUCGGAACUGCCUUUGAUACUGCAAGUCUUGAGUCCGGAAGAGGUGGGUGGAAUUCCUAGUGUAGAGGUGAAAUUCGUAGAUAUUAGGAAGAACACCGGUGGCGAAGGCGGCCCACUGGUCCGGUACUGACGCUGAGGUGCGAAAGCGUGGGGAGCAAACAGGAUUAGAAACCCCAGUAGUCC
rnacentral:rRNA from 1 species